CAGUCGUACCUGCGGAUAAUCAGCCUUUAGGAUGCGAUUUUGUGGAGCGUGAGGAGCUAAUCGCCUUCAUGCCUAUAUAUUCGUGUACUUGGGGUGUACUUAUUCGUGAGGUAAGUUAACAUCAAUUUUGGUCGUCAUAAAAUGACUGGAGGAAUGUAGCUUCGAUCUCGUAUUGAAGUGUUAUAGCCUCUUGUUGUACACGGUGCCUGGGAUUGAGGACUGCAGCACGCUUCUGUUGUGCUUUGAUGCUGGCGUAA
rnacentral:rRNA from 1 species